UACCAGCACCCCGAGUGGUCGGGACGAUUAUUGGGCCUAAAGCAUCCGUAGCCGGUUCUGCAAGUCCCCCGUUAAAUCCAGCUGCUCAACAGAUGGGCCGCGGAGGAUACUACAGAGCUAGGAGGCAGGAGAGGCAAGCGGUACUCAGUGGGUAGGGGUAAAAUCCGUUGAUCCAUUGAAGACCACCAGUGGCGAAGGCGGCUUGCCAGAAUGCGCUCGACGGUGAGGAUGAAAGCUGGGGAGCAACCGG
rnacentral:rRNA from 1 species